CAAGGUAAAAUGGAUGCUGCUGCAAGCAUGAUUGAGAAAGCUAUUGUUGCAAACCCUACAUAUGCGGAAGCAUGUAAUAACUUAGGGGUUCUUUAUAGAGAUGCCGGCAAUAUAACUCUAGCCAUUAAAUCUUAUGAGCAAUGCCUUAAACGAACAUUUUUUCAUUUGUUCUCAGAGUCAUCAUAAAUCUACAAAACCUACAUUGCAGAACUAAAGGAUGCGAGGAUCCCAUACAAAGAUAGCCCAGAAUUGUUGGGGCUUUUAUUGGAAUUUUCAAGUUCAAUUCCUUCUUUAUUUGAUCAAUGGAAGAAUUUUGCUGUGCUGCUGCUGCUGCAAUGUUGCUGUGAAGCGGCUGCUACUAGAUGCUGGUCUACUGCAAAUUUGGGUUGUUGUUAGUUUCAUGAUUUCAUUUUGUUAUCUACUAUUUUUACUAUGGGUUCACAAUUUGGAUGUAUUUGAGUAUUUUAGUGAGUUUACCCUUUUAGGUUUUAUACAAGGCUUCCAAAAGCGUAUUUUUCAGCAAUGUUUUUUUGCCUACACAUCAACUUAAGGUGAUUUAAUAUCAAUGUUAUUAGUUUGUAAUAGUAGUGCCUGAGGGAUGCCUCUUGUAAAU